rnacentral:rRNA from 1 species
AUGAACGCUGGCGGCGUGCUUAACACAUGCAAGUCGAACGAAGCAUUUGCGACAGAUUUUUUCGGAAUGAAGUUGCUUAUGACUGAGUGGCGGACGGGUGAGUAACGCGUGGGUAACCUGCCUUGUACUGGGGGAUAGCAGCUGGAAACGGCUGGUAAUACCGCAUAAGCGCACAAUGUUGCAUGACAUGGUGUGAAAAACUCCGGUGGUAUAAGAUGGACCCGCGUCUGAUUAGCUAGUUGGUGAGAUAACAGCCCACCAAGGCGACGAUCAGUAGCCGACCUGAGAGGGUGACCGGCCACAUUGGGACUGAGACACGGCCCAGACUCCUACGGGAGGCAGCAGUGGGGAAUAUUGCACAAUGGAGGAAACUCUGAUGCAGCGACGCCGCGUGAGUGAAGAAGUAAUUCGUUAUGUAAAGCUCUAUCAGCAGGGAAGAUAGUGACGGUACCUGACUAAGAAGCGCCGGCUAAAUACGUG